rnacentral:misc_RNA from 1 species
GAUGAAGAACGUAGUGAAAUGCGAUACGUAAUGUGAAUUGCAGAAUUCAGUGAAUCAUCGAGUCUUUGAACGCACAUUGCGCCCUCUGGUAUUCCGGAGGGCAUGCCUGUCCGAGCGUCAUUGCUGCCCUCAAGCACGGCUUGUGUGUUGGGCCCCGCCCCCCGAUCCCGGGGGGCGGGCCCGAAAGGCAGCGGCGGCACCGCGUCCGGUCCUCGAGCGUAUGGGGCUUUGUCACCCGCUCUGUAGGCCCGGCCGGCGCUUGCCGAUCAACCAAACUUUUUUCCAGGUUGACCUCGGAUCAGGUAGGGAUACCCGCUGAACUUAAGCAUAUCAAUAAGCGGAGGA